GAGGUUAUCUCAGGCCCAAUGGCGACUGUGGUAGCAAGCGGCAGCAAUGGAAAAGAGCAAGGAGUCGAGACUUCCGUCACCUAUUACCGACUGGAGGAGGUGGCGAAGCGCAACUCCCCGAAGGACAUAUGGCUGGUGAUCCACGGGCGAGUCUACGAUGUCAGCUGCUUUCUUAACGAGCAUCCUGGUGGAGAAGAGGUUCUGAUGGAACAAGCUGGAGGAGAUGCCACUGAAAGCUUUGAAGAUGUAGGCCACUCCUCUGAUGCCAGAGAAAUGCUCAAGAAGUACUACAUUGGUGAUGUUCACCCGAAUGACCUUAAACCUGGAGGUGGGAGCAAGGAACCUCCGAAAAGCAAUACAUGCAAAAGCUACUGGUCGUAUUGGAUCUUCCCUAUCGUGGGUGCUAUUCUCUUAGGUUUUCUGUAUCGUUACUACAUGGCAGAGAACAAGUCCUCCUGAGAAGACCUUGUUGAAGUCUGGAAAGUAUUUCUACUUGGGAGCAAGAACUAGAGACUUACUUGGAGCCUGCAGCAGUGCCCUCUUCUUGAGUCCUGCCAUUUGUAUUCUUACCCCUUGGAACCCAGAUGGUUGGCCAGACAUCCACCU